rnacentral:rRNA from 1 species
GGGUCAGUAGGUUGGUCGUGCCACCGGUACGUACUGGUCUCACUGACUCCUCCUUCCUGAAGAACCGUAAUGCCAUUAAUUUGGUGUUGCGGGGAAACAGGACUGUUACUUUGAAAAAAUUAGAGUGUUUAAAGCAAGCUAACGCUUGAAUACAUUAGCAUGGAAUAAUGAAAUAGGGCGAUCGAUCCUAUUUUGUUGGUUUCUAGGAUUGACGUA